rnacentral:rRNA from 1 species
GAUGAACGCUGGCGGCGUGCCUAAUAUAUGCAAGUCGAGCGAACGGACGAGAAGCUUGCUUCUCUGAUGUUAGCGGCGGACGGGUGAGUAACACGUGGAUAACCUACCUAUAAGACUGGGAUAACUUCGGGAAACCGGAGCUAAUACCGGAUAAUAUUUUGAACCGCAUGGUUCAAAAGUGAAAGACGGUCUUGCUGUCACUUAUAGAUUGAUCCGCGCUGCAUUAGCUAGUUGGUAAGGUAACGGCUUACCAAGGCAACGAUGCAUAGCCGACCUGAGAGGGUGAUCGGCCACACUGGAACUGAGACACGGUCCAGACUCCUACGGGAGGCAGCAGUAGGGAAUCUUCCGCAAUGGGCGAAAGCCUGACGGAGCAACGCCGCGUGAGUGAUGAAGGUCUUCGGAUCGUAAAACUCUGUUAUUAGGGAAGAACAUAUGUGUAAGUAACUGUGCACAUCUUGACGGUACCUAAUCAGAAGGCCACGGCUAACUACGUG